rnacentral:rRNA from 1 species
UGGUAGUCCACGCUGUAAACGAUGUCGAUUUGGAGGUUGUGCCCUUGAGGCGUGGCUUCCGGAGCUAACGCGUUAAAUCGACCGCCUGGGGAGUACGGCCGCAAGGUUAAAACUCAAAUGAAUUGACGGGGGCCCGCACAAGCGGUGGAGCAUGUGGUUUAAUUCGAUGCAACGCGAAGAACCUUACCUACUCUUGACAUCCAGAGAACUUUCCAGAGAUGGAUUGGUGCCUUCGGGAACUCUGAGACAGGUGCUGCAUGGCUGUCGUCAGCUCGUGUUGUGAAAUGUUGGGUUAAGUCCCGCAACGAGCGCAACCCUUAUCCUUUGUUGCCAGCGGUUCGGCCGGGAACUCAAAGGAGACUGCCAGUGAUAAACUGGAGGAAGGUGGGGAUGACGUCAAGUCAUCAUGGCCCUUACGAGUAGGGCUACACACGUGCUACAAUGGCAUAUACAAAGAGAAGCGACCUCGCGAGAGCAAGCGGACCUCAUAAAGUAUGUCGUAGUCCGGAUUGGAGUCUGCAACUCGACUCCAUGAAGUCGGAAUCGCUAGUAAUCGUAGAUCAGAAUGCUACGGUGAAUACGUUCCCGGGCCUUGUACACACCGCCCGUCACACCAUGGGAGUGGGUUGCAAAAGAAGUAGGUAGCUUAACCUUCGGGAGGGCGCUUACCACUUUGUGAUUCAUGACUGGG